GAUCUGGGCACGUGAUGUGUAGGAUAGGCCGGAGGCAUUGAAGCAGGUACGCCAGUAUUUGUGGAGCCGCCGUUGAAAUACGGCCCUUUAUUUGUUUGGAUUCUAACUCCUAGUCGGAGGACAUUGCUUGGUGGGUAGUUUGACUGGGGUGGUCGCCUCCAAAAGCGUAACGGAGGCUUCUAAAGGUGCCCUCAGGACGAUCGGUAACCGUCCGCAGAGUGUAAUG
rnacentral:rRNA from 1 species